AGCAGCCGCGGUAAUUCCAGCUCCAAUAGCGUAUAUUAAAGUUGUUGCAGUUAAAAAGCUCGUAGUUGAAUUUCGGGAUCAAUCUAUCGGUCGUGCAAUAGUACGUACUGAUUUUAUUGAUUCCUCCCUUCUGAUGAACUAUGAUGUCAUUAAUUUGGUGUCAUAGGGAAUCAGGACUGUUACUUUGAAAAAAUUAGAGUGUUUAAAGCAGGCUCACGCUUGAAUACAUUAGCAUGGAAUAAUGAAAUAGGACAUCCGAUUCUAUUUUGUUGGUUUCUAGGAUCGAUGUAAUGAUUAAUAGGGAUAGUUGGGGGCAUUAGUAUUCAAUUGUCAGAGGUGAAAUUCUUGGAUUUAU
rnacentral:rRNA from 1 species